rnacentral:rRNA from 1 species
GAUGAACGCUGGCGGCGUGCCUAACACAUGCAAGUCGAACGGAGUCCGGCAUUUAAGUCCUUCGGGUCAAAGCGGGGAAGACUGUGUGGCCGACGGGUGUGCAACACGUGGGCAACUUGGCUCAUAGAGGGGGAUAUCAUAGAGCAAUUUCUGCUAAUACCGCAUAAGCACACAUUGCCGCAUGGCAGUGGGAGAUAAGAGUAUCGCUAUGAGAUGGACUCGUGUCUGAUUAGCCAGUUGGCAGGGUAAGCGCGUACCAAAGUGAGAAUCAGUAGCCGAGCAGAGAGAAUGAGCGGCGACAUUGAGAGUAGGACACGGUCCGAACUCCUACAGGAGGGGGCAGAGGGGGAUAUAGCACAGUGGGGUGUAUCCUGAUGCACCGACGCCGCGUGAGUGAAUAAGGUUGUCGGUAUGUAAAGCUCGAUCAGCAGGGAAGAUAAUGACGGUACCAGAAGAAGAAGCCCCGGCUAACUACGUG